AACACAUAACGUGAAGAAAGGUGGGGAGCAAUGGGAGUUGACAUGUUCCGCCUUGAUCAAAAGUCAAUGCUUCUACAAGGGUCCAUCAAUGUUCAUUGCCUUAGCAAUUUCAGACAUCUUUUGAAAGAGUGGGCAAUUUACAAAAUCAGUGGAUUUGAUGUUAUAAGAAGCAACAGCCAUUUCUUUGUUAUUUGAAGUCCAGACGUUGUUCUCAGACGGGAAUGACGAGUCUCCUGCGUUUCUGGAAUCAUCUACAUCUGAUAUGCAGAAGAAAUAUCUGUGUCAGCUGAGGCCAACGUAAUGAGUAAUGUUCCUGAAAGCAAAAUUAUCAAAGCCCCAAAAGCUGGAGCCAAAGCUUCUAAAGAAGCAAUAUAAAUGUGGACAGAAAACGAUUUCUCUAAGUCCAAAACCCAUGUAAUUUAGUCAAAUAAGUAUUCUCUCCAACUCUACUCCCUUUGCAAUAUAUCAUCAAUAUUAACAGGUAUGUGUCAUAAGAAGAAACCUUCUCAGUAUGUUUUGGUUGUUGUUGUGCAUAAAAACAUAAUCUCUUGAUGAUGAAAAUUUCACAGCCUCUGACAGAACCUUCAGUAAGGGAAGAUGGCCAUCAAUAUGCAAAUAACAGAGCCGUGUAUCAUGUAUCUUUCUUUGUCCCAAUAGAUAUAUCAUUGGUCGAGAGGUGUUGUUGAGAUAUUAAAAUUGGAACAUGCCCAAAAUGCAGUUGCUGACAACUCACCCUCACAUGCAGAUGAGCUCUUUUGGAGGCUAUGUUCUCAGCGGCAUCAGAGUCUCUGCCACUUGAUUAUUAUCUCCAAACCUCAUUCUCUUAUUAUUUUCAAUAACAGAGAAUCUAAUGGGAGGCUUGCCCGUCAGCAAUGAAGAAUAAUCCGCGCAAGUUGCAAGGCACCCCAGCAAGACAUACAAUACACCCAAGACACUAUCCUUCCUGCUCAAGAUGACAACGUCUAUGUUGCUGACUCAGAGCGAGCUAACAGAAGGACAUGUAUUCCUCUGGAAGACAUGUAUCUAAACAACAUGGCAAGACUCAAACCACCACGAAGUUGCGACCUCCCAAACGUCCAACAUCUAUGCAAGAAUUGUUACUAAUUCUUAAGACUGGAGAAAUUUAUCCACUACAUUACUCAGAGAUAGAAAGUUAUGUUUUUGUUUACUAACCUUUUUAAGACCAAGAGGAGUUUAUAAUACUUCUACCAAGUUGCUUUUUUUUGGUAAAAUACGUCUACCAAGUAAAUUUAAAAUAAAGUUUGAAUUAUUCUGCA